GACGAACGCUGGCGGCGUGCUUAACACAUGCAAGUCGAACGGAAAGGCCCUGCUUUUGUGGGGUGCUCGAGUGGCGAACGGGUGAGUAACACGUGAGUAACCUGCCCUUGACUUUGGGAUAACUUCAGGAAACUGGGGCUAAUACCGGAUAGGAGCUCCUGCUGCAUGGUGGGGGUUGGAAAGUUUCGGCGGUUGGGGAUGGACUCGCGGCUUAUCAGCUUGUUGGUGUGGUAGUGGCUUACCAAGGCUUUGACGGGUAGCCGGCCUGAGAGGGUGACCGGCCACAUUGGGACUGCGAUACGGCCCAGACUCCUACGGGCGGCAGCAGUGGGGAAUAUUGCACAAUGGGCGGAAGCCUGAUGCAGCAACGCCGCGUGCGGGAUGACGGCCUUCGGGUUGUAAACCGCUUUCGCCUGUGACGAAGCGUGAGUGACGGUAAUGGGUAAAGAAGCACCGGCUAACUACGUG
rnacentral:rRNA from 1 species